GACGAACGCUGGCGGCGUGCCUAACACAUGCAAGUUGAGCGACGAACCAGGGCUUGCCCUGGGGCAAAGCAGCGAACGGGUGAGUAACACGUGGGUAACCUGCCCCGAUGAUUGGGACAACCCGAGGAAACUCGGGCUAAUACCGAAUGUGCUCACUGGACCCAAGUCCAGUGCGUAAAGGAAGCUUCGGCCUCCGCUUCGGGAGGGGCCCGCGGCCCAUUAGCUAGUUGGUGAGGUAACGGCUCACCAAGGCCGCGAUGGGUAGCUGGUCUGAGAGGACGAUCAGCCACACUGGGACUGAGACACGGCCCAGACUCCUACGGGAGGCAGCAGUGGGGAAUCUUGCGCAAUGCGCGAAAGCGUGACGCAGCAACGCCGCGUGGGGGAAGAAGGCCUUCGGGUUGUAAACCCCUUUCAGGAGGGACGAAGGUUCGGCGGUGAAUAGCCGUCCGGACUGACGGUACCUCCACAAGAAGCCCCGGCUAACUACGUGCCAGCCGCCGCAGUAACAC
rnacentral:rRNA from 1 species